AUGAACUGAUACAGAGUGAAGUGAACAGAUUCAUAUCUCAGAAUGGACCAGCCUGGCUAAGGUUGUUUGUGGAGAAGGCACAGUCUCCAGGGAACUAGAGAAAAAUGAUUGGUCGAGAUAACUGCAGCCUGGGUCCAAAGAAGGGGUCAGACCCAUCACAGCUGCCUGCUGAUUCCCCCAGUUACUCACUGUCCUGGAGGAUUUGUCCUGGGAGGCCUGAAAUUCCUCCCUUUCUGCCUGUCUUUCUGAAGCCUUCCUCUAUGUUAAAUGCCCUUCAGGGAGCCAUCUGGGUCCAGGUUCACUUGCAAGUCAUGACGUCACCUUCCUGAUGGACCAAGAGAUUCUCUUUGAGAGAAUGAAGGGCAAACAGCAACAACUUCAGGGGAGGAAAUGAUGCACUCAGAUAGCUCUUCUUGCCUGAGGCCUUACCCUUCCAGGUGCAAAGGAUUCUUCCCCAGACCUGCAUUUUACUUUGACCUUUUGCAUGAUUGCGAUUUGUGGACAGGUCUUAAGGGUCAGAGGCUGUUUGCCUGUCACCUAACUGACCUUGGGCAGGUGACUUUACUCCCCUUGGGCUUCAGUUGUCCUCGGCAGAAUAAGAUGGCUAGACAAGAGAGCAGGGUUUCUUAACCUGGGAUCUAUGUGCUGAACUUGGAUGGGGAAAAACUGCCAUCUUUCUUUCUACUAACCUUUCACUGAAAGGUAGCGUUUCUUUGUUGUUUGCAUCACAAACUGGACUCCCUGUAUGUCCUUGGGAGCCAAGACCGGUGUCAGUCUGCACUAGGUUGAGAAAUUGCUUGUGGGACGCUUGUAGAUAAAGCAGACCAUCCUAUCUUCGUGGUCCGGCUGUUCCCAAGGGGGAAAAAAUGGGGCUCUUGCCACGGCCUUGCUCCACCCCUUCAGGAGGGCUUUUGUCCUCUUCCCACCUUUACUGCACCUGUCCCCCUCCUGUGCCACGCCCCUUGAGGUGGAGAUUCUCCUCCUCCCUUUGUCCUGAUGUCAUAAAUACGCAAACUUCUGUAUACAUCAUGACCUCUUUGGGUUCCACAUGGGUGUUCAUUUCUCUUGUAAUAAACCUAGUUUUCACAUAA